AAACUUUUCGGCUAGAGUUUGAUAGAGGAAAGCAGAAUUUCUAGUGUAGAGGUGAAAUUCGUAGAUAUUAGAAAGAAUACCAAUUGCGAAGGCAGCUUUCUGGAUCAUCACUGACACUGAGGAACGAAAGCAUGGGUAGCGAAGAGGAUUAGAUACCCUCGUAGUCCAUGCCGUAAACGAUGUGUGUUAGACGUUGGAAAUUUAUUUUCAGUGUCGCAGCGAAAGCGAUAAACACACCGCCUGGGGAGUACGACCGCAAGGUUAAAACUCAAAUGAAUUGACGGGGACCCGCACAAGUAGUGGAGCAUGUGGUUUAAUUCGAAGAUACGCGCAGAACCUUACCAACACUUGACAUGUUCGUCGCAACUUUAAGAGAUUAAAGUUUUCGGUUCGGCCGGACGAAACACAGGUGCUGCAUGGCUGUCGUCAGCUCGUGUCGUGAGAUGUUGGGUUAAGUCCCGCAACGAGCGCAACCCUCACUUUUAGUUGCCAUCAUUAAGUUGGGCACUCUGAAAGAACUGCCAGUGAUAAGCUGGAGGAAGGUGGGGAUGACGUCAAGUCCUCAUGGCCCUUACGUGUUGGGCUACACACGUGCUACAAUGGUAUUUACAAAAGGAAGCAAGACGGCGACGUUAAGCAAAUCCUUAAAAAAUACCUCAGUUCGGAUUGCACUCUGCAACUCGAGUGCAUGAAGCUGGAAUUACUAGUAAUCGUGGAUCAGCGUGCCACGGUGAAUGCGUUCCCGGGUCUUGUACACACCGCCCGUCACACCAUGGGAGUUGGUUCUACCUUAAGGCAAGGUUUAAAACCCUUGACCACGGUAUAGUCAGCGACUGGGGUGAAGUCGUAACAAGGUAACC
rnacentral:rRNA from 1 species